rnacentral:rRNA from 1 species
AUUGAACGCUGGCGGCAGGCCUAACACAUGCAAGUCGAGCGGAUGAAGGGAGCUUGCUCCUGGAUUCAGCGGCGGACGGGUGAGUAAUGCCUAGGAAUCUGCCUGGUAGUGGGGGAUAACGUCCGGAAACGGGCGCUAAUAACGCAUACGUCCUGAGGGUGAAAGUGGGGGAUCUUCGGACCUCACGCUAUCAGAUGAGCCUAGGUCGGAUUAGCUAGUUGGUGGGGUAAAGGCCUACCAAGGCGACGAUCCGUAACUGGCCUGAGAGGAUGAUCAGUCACACUGGAACUGAGACACGGUCCAGACUCCUACGGGAGGCAGCAGUGGGGAAUAGUGGACAAUGGGCGAAAGCCUGAUCCAGCCAUGCCGCGUGGGUGAAGAAGGUCUUCGGAUUGUAAAGCACUUUAAGUGGGGAGGAAGGGCAGUAAGUGAAUACCUUGCUGUUUUGACGUUACCAACAGAAUAAGCACCGGCUAACUUCGUG